rnacentral:rRNA from 1 species
AACGAACGCUGGCGGCGUGCCUAACACAUGCAAGUCGAACGGAAUUAAAGAGCUUGCUCUUUGAUUUAGUGGCGCACGGGUGAGUAACGCGUAGAUAAUCUGCCUGACGAUCUGGGAUAACACUUCGAAAGAGGUGCUAAUACCGGAUAAGCCCACGGGUUCUUUGGAAUCUGCGGGAAAAGGGGGGGACCUUCGGGCCUUCUGUCGUCAGAUGAGUCUGCGUACCAUUAGCUAGUUGGUAGGGUAAAGGCCUACCAAGGCGACGAUGGUUAGCUGGUCUGAGAGGAUGGACAGCCGCGCGGGAACUGAGACACGGUCCAGACUCCUACGGGAGGCAGCAGUGGGGAAUUUUGCGCGAUGGGCGAAAGCCUGACGUAGCAACGCCUCGUGAGUGAUGAAGGCUUUCGGGUCGUAAAGCCCUGUCAAGCAGGAAGAACAGCCUUAGGGCUAAUAUCCCUAAGGUGUGACGGUACCGCUGAAGGAAGCACCGGCUAACUCCGUGCCAGCCGCCGCGGUAACAC